rnacentral:rRNA from 1 species
UUGUAAGUGUUUGAGGGCGUUCGGUGGAUGCCUUGGUACCAGGAGCCGAUGAAGGACGUGGUAGGCCGCGAUAGUCCUCGGGGAGUUGUCAAACGAGCUGUGAUCCGAGGGUGUCCGAAUGGGGAAACCCAGCACCAGUGAUGUGGUGUUACCCACUCGUGAAUGUAUAGCGGGUGUGGAGGGAACGUGGGGAAGUGAAACAUCUCAGUACCCACAGGAAGAGAAAACAAGUGUGAUUCCGUGAGUAGUGGCGAGCGAAAGCGGAGGAGGCUAAACCAUGCGUAUGUGAUACUCGGCAGGGGUUGUGCGUGUGGGGUUGUGGGGUGAUCGUUCAUCGUGCUGCCGUGCGGUGGGUCAGUGAUAAAUCGACAUGUUAGGUGAAGUGGCCUGGAAUGGUCUGCCGUAGUGGGUGAGAGUCCCGUAGCUGAAAGCGUGUUGACUGGCUUCGAUUGUUCCCAAGUAGCAGCGGGCUCGUGGAAUCUGCUGUGAAUCUGCCGGGACCACCCGGUAAGCCUAAAUACUUUCUGGUGACCGAUAGCGGACUAGUACCGUGAGGGAAAGGUGAAAAGUACCCCGGGAGGGGAGUGAAAUAGUACCUGAAACCGGACGCUUACAAUCCGUCAGAGCUUGCGCACCUUU